UUACCUACGAGGCAGGGCAGAUCCCCUUCUCCUUGGCCUUGAAUGACCCAGUGCAGUUAGGGUGUGAAGGCCUGUCCCUUGCACUGCGGGCAGGCUGACCCCUGCGAGAGGCUAUAAUACCUCCAACAGGAGGAUCUCAGCUACAUAAUUUGUGGUGAUGGGGGACUGCUCUCGGGCUUUCCCUCU
rnacentral:snRNA from 1 species